rnacentral:rRNA from 1 species
UACAGAGGUCUCAAGCGUUGUUCGGAUUCAUUGGGCGUAAAGGGUGCGUAGGCGGCGCGGUAAGUCGGGUGUGAAAUCUUGGAGCUUAACUCCGAAACUGCAUUCGAUACUGCCGUGCUUGAGGACUGGAGAGGAGACUGGAAUUUACGGUGUAGCAGUGAAAUGCGUAGAUAUCGUAAGGAAGACCAGUGGCGAAGGCGAGUCUCUGGACAGUUCCUGACGCUGAGGCACGAAGGCCAGGGGAGCAAACGGG